GUAGUUGUGUUCUUAUUUUUUGGCUCAUUUGCUGGCAUAUUGCAGCUCUGCAAAAAUCGAGAUCACCGACUAAUCGAGCUGAGAAGGCAGUCAGAGUAGCCACUCAUUUUCAGCAGGAUUCAAGUUUUUAUAGACCCAACGUGGAUAAGUUAAAAAAAUCCCUGACAGAGAUGUAGAGGGGAGUGAAAGAGCUCGUCAGAGUGGACUCGCAAAUGCCCAUAUGUGCCUCGUUUGUGUGCCAUUCUCGAUUAAAGCUGCAACUGCCUAGCAGGCAUGGUUUCCAGUUCUGUCCAAAGCAACACAGAUGCCAGCAGCUCACAAACAGGAGCCAUCAGCCACCAUUACGCCUCGAAGAGACUUCAAUCACUCUGCUGAUGACACGUUCAAAGUGCUGCUUCUGACAAAAUAUUUCCCUUGGGGGGGACCUCACACACUUAACGUUGGGUGCACCAGACAGAGGGAGCAAAAGCGCUAAACACAGCUAGUAAUUAGUGGUCUUGAUAAUGGGGCAAGGCCAAGGAAGGUUGCCAAUAAUCUGGCCUAAUUGCUCAGAUGUAUGCCAAAGCGUUCGUCUAGGACUGGGUGGUAGAUAAUGGCUUUGGCAGGUGCUGCCAGGGAUAUGUUCCUGGUGACAUGAGCCUUUAAUGACCACUGGAGUGUGUGCGUCUGUGUGUGUGUUGGGUAGAGGGGGAUAUGGGAAUGGGAAGCCUGUGCAAAAGCAAAAGGACAGUUUAAAAAUGGCAGAUAAUGCCAAUACAUUCUAUUAUAUUAUUUAAUAACUGUCUUCAAAUAUCCUUCAAUCAAUAUUUCCUCAGAGGUUUUAAUGAAAG